CACCGUACCCCACCGCAUCCCACCGUACCCCACCGCGUCCCCUCUGUAUCCCGCCCGCUCCCGCCUCCGGGCCGCGGGGAGUGCCGCCGGGUGACCCGAUCCCGGUGCAGCGGGCGCUCAGCGCGGCGUGGGCGCUAACCCGGGUACGCGGGGCUGCAGCGAGCGGGUGAGUUUGGGGCGCGGAGCGGCGGCUCUCAACAGGCGUCUGCCAGCCGAGCACACGAGCCCCGCGGACUGUGCUCGGACGGUUUCCGUGCGUAAUCACAGCCGGAGCAGCCGCGGUCACUGCGCCGGGGGCAGCGGGCGCAGGCCGGGCUGCAGCAGCAGCGGGCCCGGCCCGGCCCGGCCCGGCCGGCACAGUCCGGGCUCCGGGCCCUGGAGCGGCGCUGCCGCAGCCGCGGGUGCCGCCGGUAAUCCUCCUCCGUUUGUGUCGGGGGCCGGACCCGACAGCACAGCUUCACAGCAAACGCCUUUGGGAGUGCACGGGGCCGGGUGCCUGUCCAGCGACACUCAGCUCUCCUUGGCUGAGACUCUGCGACUUUCAGACUCUGCUGUGCUAAAUGCAUCUCUAAGUGCCAGUGAGCAACCUUGAAUGUAAGCACAACCCAUGAAAAAGAGACCGUGCAUGGUCCCUCAUGCCUAAAUGAAACCUUAAUUUCACUGUUUCUCCUAACAUGCGUUUCCUUUGCUGUCAUGCUACAGGCGGGCAGCAGCCCCGAAAGGCCUGAGAACCACUCCAACACAGGUUUUCCCUCUCUGGCCUGCUCAGAUCUUCAAUUGCCAGUCCACAGACAAACGCACAGGUGGGGAAUGAAGUCCAAAGUGCUCCUGGAUGAGGAGAAACAAGGUCCAUGCUCGUGUGAGUAUCUGUAAGUGUUCUGGCAACUUUUGGUGAGAAUCUCUGCAUUCAAGGCUGUACAUGGACUAAAGCUUUGUGCUGCUCAUGUGGCAGUGCCUGGUGAGUGCUCAGUGAGUGGCAGAAGCAUUGUCAGCUCCUGUAGUUUGGCAGCAGAGCCCGAGCACUGUUGCUGCAGCACAGGCAGGUGCUCAGUGCCCAUGUCCCAGCUGGCUGCUGCUGACAGUGAGCGUGGUGCCCUCCCUCCCCAGGCACACCCGUGUGAGCAAGGGUUCACUUGUGCCACUCUGCCACCCUGGGCCCCCACAGCGAUGACAAGCAUCCCACUGCCAGCAGCACUGGCACGUGCCCACGCACCCCUGCACACGUGUGCUGCCUCACAAGGGCAGGAGCUUGCUUUGCCCUUGGAUCUGCAUCCUCAGUGAGGCUGCCCAACAGCCCCUCGGGCCAGUCUGUAGCGAAGCAGUGUAGUAACAAUGAGCCAGGCAAGGGGAAAACAUUUCUGCAUCUGGCACCUACUCAGGAAGCGGUCUGGCCUGGCAGGGAAUGUUAUGUGUGACUGAGCUCCAGCAGCCACUGAGGAAUCACUGUGGUGAACAGAGCCACACUGGGAAAAGCUCAUCAGUCUGCCAUGCACUCCCACCCAUUGUGGACAUGCUGGCCAGGGCAGAUUCAGCUCCCUGGGGAGGGAUGCAAAUACCACAGGGCCCUGAUCCAUGUGGUCCUGCCCCUUGCAGUGGCUUUCCUCUCACACACCUGUGCUGUGUGCAGGUGCUGAUCUCUCCAGGAGCUGACACUUUGUGCUUUGCAGUUUACACAGAGCAGGCAGGGCUGCCAGCCUGGGCCGGUUUCACACCUGAACAAACCGUGUGAUGGCUUUACAGCUGAGCACUAACUCUGAAUAUGCAACUGUGCUCAGCUGUCCAGGGCAGCGUUACUGCAGCGUCCAGGAAGGUGACAACAAUUGGUAUUGCCACCAAAGCCAUCACCACUGACCCCUCUCUUUCCUGCACGUCCAGCCAGCCAGUGAACUCCUGUACAACUGCAGGUGGGCAGAGGUGAGCACACACAUGCACAAAGAGAAUUGCCACAGAAGGUUUCCAAGCUCCCCGCAGGCACAGGGUCCCUGCAGAAAGUGCGGCGCACUCAUGGCUGGGACAUACCUGUGGGAAAGAACUUACCUGCCAAGGGCUGAGGAGUGUGCCCACUGCCAAAGGGUUCUAUGGCCUCUGCUUAUUGCAGAAGAAACAGACAGGAGAGCCAGCUUGUAUGAAACCCAAUUAUUCAAAUUUAUUAACAUCAAGAAUUAUGCAAUGAUGCUGUAGAUUUUUUUAUUAACAAAUAGAAAACAGACUGUAUACAACAGUGACCCCUACAGCACUAUGCAUCCACAAGGUAAAAAUGAAUGUGUCCUCCAACAUUACCAACCCUGGAUUGCUGAUUUCAACGUAGCUUGGAUUCUUAACAUUCGGAAUACAUGUGAUAAUACAAUUAGAUACCCUUCCACCACCUUUAUUCAUAACUCAAUGCACUCAAAAGAGGGCUGCUCACUCCCCAUCUUUAGUGCAAGCGUGAUAUAAUAAGGAGUAUUAAUAUAUAGUACCAUUAAAUUAAGUCCAGUAGUCUUGCCACAUUGGUUCAUUAGAACAUCCUGAAGUAGCGGAAAGUACAAUAUUCUAGUGACUCUUAACAUUUGCAGGAUAGCAGAAAUUAUAGAUACACCCAACCUCUGAAGCCAUGUGUACUCCCCUCCCCUUCCCUGCAGUACCCUGCUUCCAAAGCGAGAUGGUCCAGCUCUGCUGUGGAUCAGCUGGGCUUGUGCUCCUUGCCUUUGUCAAUGCUCUGACGCGCUCCACUGGUGAGAGGUGACAGGAUGGCGCUUGCACGCACAGAACCGUGGGAUUAACACAAAGGGCCGUGUCUUGCUCUUUCCAUGCCCUCCCUGGGGAGCUGUGGGACCCCCUCGCUACUCCUGCCCCCUUUCCAGCAAGACACACAAAAAGAGGUUCCAAUGCCUGGAGCCCGGGAUUUCGGGUCUCUCACAAACAAGGCAACGACAACUCACGUCAUGUCAGGAUCUGCCAAUACACACGGUCACUGGAUUGGUUGAACACGUAUUGUAAUAGGACUGAACAGUUUCCAGCUGACAAAGGGACGCUUCUCUGGCGACCCCAUAUGCCUUCCCAAACCCAAACCUACUAAGGAAAUAAUGGGGGGGGGGGGGGGGGGGGAAGAAGACUAAAAAAAUAAUUGGUAGCUUAGGUCCAGUUCCAUGAAAUUUCAUAUUCUACAGAGGAUUAAAAAGCCUACGGGGAAUGGAGAUGGGCAGGAACCACAAGCCAGCUGCUGCGAAUUACCAAGGAAGCUGCACUAAAAUGGGCAGAACCAGCAGUGACUGGGCUGAAAUAAACACAGGGCAGUAAAAAAAGUAAAAGCAAAAGGAAAUUAAAAAAACAAAACCCAACUCCCAAAGGUUUGGCGGGUCCAGUUCUGCUUGGGCAAAACAUUAAGACUUGCAAAAAAUAAAAAAUAAAGAGAGAGAAGAUUAUAAAAACCACUAGUAACUAUUUUACAUGUUUAAAAAAAAGAUCCCAUUCCACCCACCUAAAGCCUUGCUGUGAAAUGCAGUCGGCAUGAGAGAGGGUGAGAGAUGCACAUGAGCAGAAAUUCAGCCAGAGACUGGAAAUGCUUUUGGAGUCGGAUUCCCUCAUUUGGCGCUGGGGCUAAGUUCCUAAAUGCCGUGGUCAAAACUGGUUGGCGUGGAGGUCUGCUGCCUGGGCAGUACCUCCACCUGUACAGAAGGACUGAGGAAUGGGCGGCUCUGGCUCAGAGGGACCCAUCUCCACUCCUAGACAUCCCCACCGCGACUGGAGGAAAGCACUGUUACGUUGCAUAGUGGUCGAAGCUGCCAAGGUACUCCAGUGCGGCUCUGUAGCACAGCUGGUAUUGGUCCUGCAAGGCAGCAACGAGGGAAACGUGAGCGGUGGGGACACAAGGACAGCGGGCUGUAGGGCCCAACAUCCAGAGACAUCAGGGCCCUCCCUUCUCCCACAGAUCUGCACCGCCACGCACAGGAGGGGACUCACCUCUGUCUGCACCAUGGCCGGCCGCUGCGUCCGCAAGGUCUUCACCAUCUGGAACAUGUCCACCACGCCCUCGUAGCGCAUCCUCUCCAGCACGAUGCUGAGUGUGAUGAACACGCCGGUGCGCCCAACCCCAGCGCUGCACAGGGAGCAACAGGGGCCACGGAGCUGCUGCAUACUCCCUUGACUGGCCUGGGUAGGGCAGAGGCACGAGAGACAGAGGAGCUGGGAGCCAGCAGAUGCACUCACCCUGGCAUCUGUCACCUUGAACUCCCGGAGGAUGUACUGUGGCAUGUUGUACUCUGCCAUGGGGUCCACCACGAAGUACUGGUACCGGGCAGAGCGCUCUGCAGGCCAGUACUGAUGGCACUUCUCCUGUGGAUGAGGAGCAGGUGUCCAGCACCAGUCCUGCCUGAGGAUCCAGACUCCUCCCAAAAUCAAGACAUGGAACAAGCCUUGAGCUGCUGCCUGGAUCAGCCACUCAGUGGAAGCACACUCCUAACUCUAGCUGCUACAGUGGGGAGGCAGGAUUGAGUUAGGUACUGUAGAUAUAAAACACAAGCCAAGGGAUGCCUACCAGAAUAUCCCCUAAAACCUCCCUGGGAGCCAACACAGCCUGCCACUCCAGCCAUGUGGGCAUCUGUCUACAGCAACACACGCCAGCCUGGCAGCGCUCACUCACAGGCAGUCUUCACAUAUUGUAACUACACACACUGCAGUGCCUGAGAAGAUGGAAAUAGAUAAAAUGCAACAAAGUGGUCCCUGUCCCACCUCAGGCGGUCAGGACCAGUCCUCGGGAAAGAGAAGGCAGCUCUGCCUGGGUUUCCAAGCAGGCAGGACAAGCUGGCACAGGAACCCAAGGUAAUCCUUACCUGUAG